rnacentral:rRNA from 1 species
CCUACGGGAGGCAGCAGUGAGGAAUAUUGGUCAAUGGGCUUACGCCUGAACCAGCCAAGUCGCGUGAGGGAAGACUGCCCUAUGGGUUGUAAACCUCUUUUGUCAGGGAGCAACGCCGGCUACGUGUAGCCGUACUGAGAGUACCUGAAGAAAAAGCAUCGGCUAACUCCGUGCCAGCAGCCGCGGUCAUACGGAGGAUGCGAGCGUUAUCCGGAUUUAUUGGGUUUAAAGGGUGCGUAGGCGGAAUGCCAAGUCAGCGGUAAAAUCGCGGGGCUCAACCUCGCUCCGCCGUUGAAACUGGCGUUCUUGAGUGGGCGAGAAGUAUGCGGAAUGCGUGGUGUAGCGGUGAAAUGCAUAGAUAUCACGCAGAACUCCGAUUGCGAAGGCAGCAUACCGGCGCCCAACUGACGCUGAAGCACGAAAGCGUGGGUAUCGAACAGGAUUAGAUACCCCUGUAGUC